rnacentral:lncRNA from 1 species
GAUCAUCCUUCCCGAGAGUGCUAGCUCAUGUCGAAGGCUCUGGAUGACUGAUGGAGACUCUUUUCUUCAAAUCAAAUGGACACCUCCAAAUUAGAAGAUAGAGCUUUUCGAGGAGGAGAUGGUGUGGAAGAAAAAGAACAAAACUCUUUUGAUUUUUCUUUCUCACAAAACAAGAACUAGGAAACCCUAGAAGCCCACCCUAGAUCUCAUGCCCGAAGAGGAACCUUAUUCCUCUUUUUCUCACGCACAGAUGCCCACCCCUCUCUUAGAUUUUUCAUGCCCUCUCUGAGGUUCUCUCACAUCAAAAAUUCAUCUGAUGGGGUGCACAAAAAAUAUCUUAAGGUGGCAUCCCAUUAAGAUAAGGAUAGAGUUUGAUUGUUUUGGUUCAAGUUUAAAUAGGAUUUGAUCUUAUCAUGAAUUCAAAUCAGAUUUUAAUUCUAUUUUGAACCAAACUCAAUCCAUAUCUUCAGGACUUAAAAAGGUGGGUGACAAAUCUCAGAUGGGCAUAAAAAGUCCAUGCAAAAAUCAUUUUUGGCAUGGGAAUAAAAGUGGUCGGCAG